UGGGGAAUAUUGCACAAUGGGCGCAAGCCUGAUGCAGCAACGCCGCGUGAACGAUGAAGGUUUUCGUAUCGUAAAGUUCUGUCGUAGGGGAAGAUAAUGACGGUACCCAGUGAGGAAGCCCCGGCUAACUACGUGCCAGCAGCCGCGGUAAUACGUAGGGGGCUAGCGUUAUCCGGAUUUACUGGGCGUAAAGGGUGCGGAGGUGGUCUUUCAAGUCGGUGGUUAAAGGCUACGGCUCAACCGUAGUUAGCCUCCGAAACUGGAAGACUUGAGUGCAGGAGAGGAAAGUGGAAGUCCCAGAGUAGCGGUGAGAGGCGUAGAUAUUGGGGGGAACACCAGUAGCGAAGGCGGCUUUCUGGACUGCAACGGACACUGGGGCACGAAAGCGUGGGUAGCGAACAGG
rnacentral:rRNA from 1 species